rnacentral:rRNA from 1 species
AGCGAACGCUGGCGGCAGGCCUAACACAUGCAAGUCGAACGAACCUUUCGGGGUUAGUGGCGGAUGGGUGAGUAACACGUGGGAACGUGCCAGUAGGUUCGGAAUAACUUAGGGAAACUUGUGCUAAGACCGAAUGUGCCCUUCGGGGGAAAGAUUUAUCGCCUUUAGAGCGGCCCGCGCCCGUUUAGCUAGUUGGUUGAGGUAAUGGCUCACCAAGGCGACGAUCAGUAGCUGGUCUGAGAGGAUGAUCAGCCACAUUGGGACUGAGACACGGCCCAAACUCCUACGGGAGGCAGCAGUGGGGAAUCUUGCGCAAUGGGCGAAAGCCUGACGCAGCCAUGCCGCGUGAAUGAUGAAGGUCUUAGGAUUGUAAAAUUCUUUCACCGGGGACGAUAAUGACGGUACCCGGAGAAGAAGCCCCGGCUAACUUCGUG